CGGCCGGUAGCUCAAGGGUUAGAGCAGCCGUCUUAUAAGCGGCCGACGCACGUGAACUAGGGUCCUACGGACCCGUUACGAACCCUGCAAAGCUCCAGCAAGCUGGACCUUUGCACGAACCGUCGACUCGUGCCCGGCCAACCA
rnacentral:tRNA from 1 species